ACUGCGCGCGCAAUUAUACCCUUCAAAGAAACACGCGGAUCCUCCCCCUGGGUCGGGUCACCGCGCGGGUCGAAGGGGCUAAAACGGCGCCGUUUUGUUUGGGGUAUUUAAACCCCAAUUUUCCCAAAAAAUUUCAUUUCUCAGUUUCCUUAAAAAAAUGCAGAAUAUAAAAAAACAAAACAUUCUUCUCUCAGCCUCCCCUGUUGCCAGACGAACGGGCCACCGUCGGCCCCGCCGUCAGCGGCGGUUAAAAGCUCAAACGUUGGGUUUUUAAGACCCUGCUUCAACGACCGACUGAAGGCCAAGCUUUCAUGGUCUCGGGGUUGCGAGAGUAAGAAUCGGAUCGCCGCUUUCCUCGCCCGAUUUCGGUGACCGAAAUAGGACUCCGGCGACGAUGCACACGGGGUGUUCAGGUGACGGCGCAAGUGGCCGAUGUGACAACGGUGGUGAGCGGCAUGACAGUGCUGAUGGAGGCGGCGCCGGGCUAGGGGUCAGAGGGCUGCGGCGCUAGGGUUUCUUUUCUGAAACCCUAGCUUAGCUUUGAGGGGGGUUGGGCCAGUUGGGCCUUGUUUUGGGCUCCGGGUUAGGCUAGGUCUAGGUGGGUUUGGAAUUGGGUAGUUGGGGUUUAAUUGUUUUUGUUUAGUUUAGGGUUAAUUGGGUUUUGGGCUAAAAAUUGGGCUUGUACACUCAGGAAGAAUUUAGAGGUGAAUGUUUUAGUCUUUAGAUACAAAAGUGGGGUCUCUAUACUUGGAGAGUAAUAGGGCUUAAUUCACUUAUAGUGAAUUAAAUAUAGUGAAAUUACUCACUGAACUAGGCUUUGUAGACAUAAGAAAACUAAAUUGUGUAGAUAAACAUUUGUGCUUUUUGUUUA